UGAAAAAUGGAAAAAGUCGCUGAAAAUGGACAAAAAUUAAAGGCUAUAGCCUUUACUUUUUGUCCAUUUUUGGCGACUUUUUUCAUUUUUCAUGACAAUGGACGAAA